rnacentral:rRNA from 1 species
UCCGCAGGCGGAUCUUUAAGUCGGUGGUGAAAUCCUACAGCUUAACUGUAGAACUGCCUCCGAUACUGGAGGUCUUGAGUAUGGAAGAGGGUGGCGGAAUUCCAGGUGUAGCGGUGAAAUGCUUAGAUAUCUGGAAGAACACCGGUAGCGAAGGCUGCUGCCUGGUCCAUUACUGACGCUCAUGGACGAAAGCGUGGGUAGCAAACA